rnacentral:tRNA from 1 species
GGCCUGCUGGCGCAGGCCUUCGGGCGGCACGGCGCUGCGGUCGCGGCCCGCUACCCGCUGCCCGCGGGCGCGACGCCCGCGCAGGUCACC